GACGAACGCUGGCGGCGUGCUUAACACAUGCAAGUCGAACGGUGAACUCCGCUUGCGGGGGGAUCAGUGGCGGACGGGUGCGUAACACGUGGGCAACCUGCCCUCAGCUCUGGGAUAACUCCAAGAAAGUGGGGCUAAUACCGGUAAUGACCGCUGACCGCAUGGUCUGGUGGCGGAAAGAUUUCUCGGCUGGGGAUGGGCCCGCGGCCUAUCCGCUGGUUGGUGGGGUAGUGGCCUACCAAGGCGACGACGGGUGGCCGGCCUGGGAGGGUGACCGGCCACACUGGGACUGAGACACGGCCCAGACUCCUACGGGAGGCAGCAGUGGGGAAUAUUGCGCAAUGGGCGAAAGCCUGACGCAGCGACGCCGCGUGGGGGAUGACGGCCUUCGGGUUGUAAACCUCUUUCAGCAGGGACGAAGCGAAAGUGACGGUACCUGCAGAAGAAGCACCGGCCAACUACGUG
rnacentral:rRNA from 1 species